UUCCGGAUUAGAGAUGAUUUCCUUCAGUUCGGCUGGACAAGUGACAGGUGCUGCAUGGCUGCCGUCAGCUCGUGUCGUGAGAUGUUGGGUUAAGUCCCGCAACGAGCGCAACCCUCAUCUUUAGUUGCCAUCAUUCAGUUGGGCACUCUAAAGAAACUGCCGGUGAUAAGCCGGAGGAAGGUGGGGAUGACGUCAAGUCCUCAUGGCCCUUACACGCUGGGCUACACACGUGCUACAAUGGCGGUGACAGUGGGCAGCAACCUCGCGAGGGGUAGCUAAUCUCCAAAAGCCGUCUCAGUUCGGAUUGUUCUCUGCAACUCGAGAGCAUGAAGGCGGAAUCGCUAGUAAUCGCGGAUCAGCAUGCCGCGGUGAAUACGUUCCCAGGCCUUGUACACACCGCCCGUCACACCAUGGGAGUUGGAUUCACCCGAAGGCGUUGCGCUAACCUAGCAAUAGGAGGCAGGCGCACCACGGUGGGUUUAGCGACUGGGGUGAAGUUCGUCGUAACAUAGGUAACCCGUAAAAUCGAAUUCUCGCGGUCCGCCA
rnacentral:rRNA from 1 species